AGCCUAGUGGUUAAGGCUAUGGAUCGCCAAUCCGGAGACGGUGGGUUCGAUUCCCGU
rnacentral:tRNA from 1 species